UGAAUUAGUUAGUAUAUUUAUUAUGAGCUUGAUUAUGAGGAGUUGGAGGAAAUGUUAGAUGAAGAACAAGCAAAAGGUGAUGAAGAUGAUAUAAUGGGGAUUAAUGAUGACGAAAUUGAUUUGUCAUGAUUUGAUGAUGAUGGAAAUACUACUAGCAUCAAUGAUGGUUUUUGUGACUUGAGUUGCAUUAAUCUUGAAGUUGGAAAUGAAAGUGAUUGAGAUGAUCACUAAGUAUUUUGUUUUGAGUUCGUAGCUUGGUAUUUUGAUAAAGACUUAUGCAUUUUGAUAAAGACUUGUGUAUUUAGAUAUUUGAACUUAUUGAUCUUUGUAUUUUGGUAUUUGAACUUAUUGGCAUUGUAAUGCAAAUCUGCCAUUUUUGAUA